CUGCCUCUGUUAGGAUCAGGAGCAAAAGAUCGCGGUCACUCAUUCUGAGAUACAACUGGAACUCUCUCCUUUGCAAACAGUUUUUUCUCUUUUCUCCUUCAAAAGCCAAAUCCUCUGGGCAGUGAUGGCAUGUCUGUACAUGGAUUGGUGAAUGGAGGGAAUAUGAAAACACCGUGCAUUAGAGUGUUGCUGGUCUUCUGAAGUGGUCAACCAGAUUCCCUUAAAGUGGUCGUCUGAGUUAUAACACAGGUGAGUAAAAGAAAUUCAGA
rnacentral:lncRNA from 1 species